rnacentral:tRNA from 1 species
UGGGGUAUAGCCAAGUCGGUUAAGGCAACGGACUUUGACUCCGUCAUCCGUAGGUUCGAAUCCUGCUACCCCAGCCA